rnacentral:rRNA from 1 species
AGUAACACGUGGAUAACCUGCCCCAAGGCUGGGGAUAACAUUUGGAAACAGAUGCUAAUACCGAUAAAACUUAGUAUCGCAUGAUAUCAAGUUAAAAGGCGCUACGGCGUCACCUAGAGAUGGAUCCGCGGUGCAUUAGUUAGUUGGUGGGGUAAAGGCUUACCAAGACGAUGAUGCAUAGCCGAGUUGAGAGACUGAUCGGCCACAUUGGGACUGAGACACGGCCCAAACUCCUACGGAAGGCAGCAG